GGUCAGGAACCCCCCACGUGUGUAAUGGUUAGUCCCGAGUCCAAGAGACCAAGAUGGCCGCUUGAGUCUGGAAAUUCCGCCAGUUCUCCCGUUAUUGUCUCCAGACCACGCUGUAGCGAUGCCGAAGAAGAGAAAGAGGGCGGCCGCGGAUAGGGGGAAAGAAAAGCCCCAAGAAGAAGCCCAAUCAGAAGGUGAGAGUGAGCCGUCCCUACAGGAGGAGAUGACAACAGAGUACCUGUCUAUUCUGGAGUCCAUGGACAGUACUGGUAACACACAGUCUGGUACAG